rnacentral:piRNA from 1 species
UAGCUUCGUUGAUCGGACAAG